rnacentral:rRNA from 1 species
CCUACGGGCGGCAGCAGUGGGGAAUAUUGCACAAUGGGGGAAACCCUGAUGCAGCGACGCCGCGUGAAUGAAGAAGUAUUUCGGUAUGUAAACUUCUAUCAGCAGGGAAGAAAAUGACGGUACCUGACUAAGAAGCCCCGGCUAACUACGUCCCAGCAGCCGCGGUAAUACGUAGGGGGCAAGCGUUAUCCGGAUUUACUGGGGGGAAAGGGAGCGUAGGCGGCGAUGCAAGUCAGAAGUGAAAGCCGGGGGCUCAACUCCGGGACUGCUUUUGAAACUGUGUUGCUAGAGUGCAGGAGAGGUGAGUGGAAUUCCUAGUGUAGCGGUGAAAUGCGUAGAUAUUAGGAGGAACACCAGUGGCGAAGGCGGCUUACUGGACUGUAAAUGACGCUGAGGCUCGAAAGCGUGGGGAGCAAACAGGAUUAGAUACCCUUGUAGUC